GUGCCUGUCGUCUAGUGGUUAGGACAGUGCGUUGUGGCACUGGAGAUCGGUUGCGACUCCCAGAUCCGCACAAACCCGGGCUCGACUCCCGGCAGGCACA
rnacentral:tRNA from 1 species